rnacentral:rRNA from 1 species
CCCUUAGAUGUUCUGGGCCGCACGCGCGCUACACUGAUGCAUUCAACGAGUCUAAAACCUGCUCUGAUAGGGGUGGGUAAUCUUUUGAAUGUGCAUCGUGAUUGGGAUAGAUGAUUGCAAUUUUUCAUCUUCAACGAGUAAUGCCUAGUAAACGCAAGUCAUCAGCUUGCAUUGAUUACGUCCCUGCCCUUUGUACACACCGCCCGUCGCUCCUACCGAUUGAAUGAUCCGAUGAAUAUCAUGGAUUGAGGAUGCAAGUAGGUUAGCCUAUCUUCAUCUUCGAGAAGUGAAGUAAAUCUUAUCAUUUAGAGGAAGGAGAAGUCGUAACA